rnacentral:rRNA from 1 species
AGAUAUAUUGUGUGACUCAAUUUAAUUUGAAAUGAAGUAAUUAUUUUUAAAAGAAUUUAAUUAAAAUAUAAUUAUGUUUAAUUAGUAUAAAAUGAAAAAAUUAAUUUUAUUAUAGUAAAUUAGUAUUGUGAAAGAAUUUUUAAUUUAAUUUAUUAAAAAGAAUAAUUAAUUUUUAGUACCUUGUGUAUCAGGGUUUAUUAAUAAAUUUUAAAGAAUUUUUAUAUUCUUGAAUUUAUAAGAGUUAAUUAUUUAUAAAUUUUUUUGUAGAAUAAAAAUUUAAAAUAAAUAAUUAGAAAUGAAACGUUAUUCGUUUAUAAAUAUAUCUAGUUUUUUAAGAAAAAAAUUUAAUUUUUUAAGUAUUAAUAUUGAAUUUAGUAUAAAUUUCAAAAUUUAAUAUUUAUAAUAAUUUUAGGGAUUAGCUUAAAAUUAAAUUUUUAUAAAUAAAUUAUAUUUUAUAGAAUUGUAGGAAUAGAAUUUUUUAUCUAUAGUAUGUUAUAAUUAAUCUAUUAUCAAUAAAAAUUUAUAUUUAUUUUAUUUUUUUUUAUUAAAAUGUUAAAUUUAAUUUUUUAAUUUAAUUAAUAAUGAUAAAAUUAGUAUAAUUUUAAUUUAUAGAUAAUUUGUAUUUAAAUAUUAUGAAAAGGAAUUCGGCAAAAAUAUUAUUCGCCUGUUUAUUAAAAACAUGUCUUUUUGAAUUUUUUUUUUAAUUUAAAGUCUGGCCUGCCCAAUGAGUAGUUUAAUGGCCGCAGUAUUUUGACUGUGCAAAGGUAGCAUAAUCAUUAGUUUCUUAAUUAGGAACUGGAAUGAAAGGUUGAACGAGAUAAUAACUGUCUCUUUAUAAAUAUUAUAAAAUUUUAUUUUUAAGUUAAAAAGCUUAAAUUAAUUUAAAAGACGAGAAGACCCUAUAGAGUUUUAUAUUUAAUAACUUUAUUUUUAUAAGUAGAAUUAUUAAUUUAUAAAUUUAUUUAAUAUUUUAUUGGGGUGAUAAAAAAAUUUAAUAAACUUUUAUUUAAUAAAAACAUUAAUAAAUGAAUUUUUGAUCCAUAAAUUAUGAUUAUAAGAUUAAAUUACCUUAGGGAUAACAGCGUAAUUUUUUUUUAGAGUUCAUAUCAAUAAAAAAGUUUGCGACCUCGAUGUUGGAUUAAAUUAUAAUUUUGGUGUAGCAGCUAAAAUAGUAGGUCUGUUCGACCUUUAAAAUUUUACAUGAUCUGAGUUUAGACCGGUGUGAGCCAGGUUGGUUUCUAUCUUUAUUAUAUUAUUAAAUAUUUUAGUACGAAAGGACCAGAUAUUUAUAAAAUUUAUUUUAAUUUGAAUAUUAUUAUUAUUUUGGCAGAUUAGUGCAUUAAAUUU